rnacentral:sRNA from 1 species
GAGGCAAAGGACUUUGCCCUGAGCCCGUGGAAUCCAAGGACAGUCUCCUCUCUCUACCUGCCUGCCAGCGCUGGGGCUCCUGGGCCCCCAGAUCUGAUUACCUUCACGGAAGGAAGCGGACGCUCACCACGCUAUGCCCUCUGGUUCUGUGUUGGGGAGUCAUGGCCCCAGGACCAGCCGUGGACCAAGAGGCUUGUGAUGGUCAAGGUUGUGCCCACGUGCCUCAGGGCCUUGGUAGAAAUCGCCCGGGUAGGGGGUGCCUCCUCCCUGGAGAACACUGUGGACCUGCACAUUUCCAACAGCCACCCACUCUCCCUCACCUCCGACCAGUACAAGGCCUACCUGCAGGACUUGGUGGAGGGCAUGGAUUUCCAGGGCCCUGGGGAGGCCUGAGCCCUCGCUCCUCAUGGUGUGGCCUCUAACCCCCCUGUUCCCCACCACCUCAACCAAUAAACUGGUUCCUGCUAUGAUCA